rnacentral:rRNA from 1 species
AGAGUUUGAUCCUGGCUCAGGAUGAACGCUGGCGGCGUGCCUAAUACAUGCAAGUCGAGCGAACAGAUAAGGAGCUUGCUCCUUUGAAGUUAGCGGCGGACGGGUGAGUAACACGUGGGUAACCUACCUAUAAGACUGGGAUAACUUCGGGAAACCGGAGCUAAUACCGGAUAACAUUUAGAACCGCAUGGUUCUAAAGUGAAAGAUGGUUUUGCUAUCACUUAUAGAUGGACCCGCGCCGUAUUAGCUAGUUGGUAAGGUAACGGCUUACCAAGGCGACGAUACGUAGCCGACCUGAGAGGGUGAUCGGCCACACUGGAACUGAGACACGGUCCAGACUCCUGCGGGAGGCAGCAGUAGGGAAUCUUCCGCAAUGGGCGAAAGCCUGACGGAGCAACGCCGCGUGAGUGAUGAAGGGUUUCGGCUCGUAAAACUCUGUUAUUAGGGAAGAACAAAUGUGUAAGUAACUGUGCACAUCUUGACGGUACCUAAUCAGAAAGCCACGGCUAACUACGUG